rnacentral:lncRNA from 1 species
UUUUGGGUAGCUAAGUCCCUCUGGACUCGUCGUCGCUUCCUCGCCCCUUUCGACCCCUUGCUUCAACACCUCUGUAUUCUCCAAGCAGCUCCCUUUGGUCGAUGGAAAGACAUACUGCAACUCCCAUGCAUGGCCUCUGCCAUCACGUUGUAGGGUUUGCACCGAUUCUAUUCUCCUUAGCUUCCUUGGUAGCAACGUUCGCUUACUCGACCUUGUCCUCUGACUUGCCGGGCUCCCUUAAGCGAAUAUGAGCUCUGGAGCAAUCCAACUCUCCAGCUGCUUCGAUCAUACCUCUGCAUGAUCAAGUCCCUCCCAUGGGACUCACUGGUACUUGCAUUCGAACUUUUCCCUUGGUGGAACCCAGCCCCCAUAUGUUGAUGACCAAGGUUUUCA